rnacentral:rRNA from 1 species
AUUGAACGCUGGCGGCAGGCCUAACACAUGCAAGUCGAACGGUAGCACAGAGAGCUUGCUCUCGGGUGACGAGUGGCGGACGGGUGAGUAACGUCUGGGAAACUGCCCGAUGGAGGGGGAUAACUACUGGAAACGGUAGCUAAUACCGCAUAACGUCGCAAGACCAAAGUGGGGGACCUUCGGGCCUCACACCAUCGGAUGUGCCCAGAUGGGAUUAGCUAGUAGGUGGGGUAAUGGCUCACCUAGGCGACGAUCCCUAGCUGGUCUGAGAGGAUGACCAGCUACACUGGAACUGAGACACGGUCCAGACUCCUACGGGAGGCAGCAGUGGGGAAUAUUGCACAAUGGGCGCAAGCCUGAUGCAGCCAUGCCGCGUGUAUGAAGAAGGCCUUCGGGUUGUAAAGUACUUUCAGCGGGGAGGAAGGCGGUGAAGUUAACAGCUUCACCGAUUGACGUUACCCGCAGAAGAAGCACCGGCUAACUCCGUGCCAGCAGCCGCAGUAA